rnacentral:rRNA from 1 species
ACCAGACUCCUACGGGAGGCAGCAGUGGGGAAUAUUGGGCAAUGGGCGAAAGCCUGACCCAGCAACGCCGCGUGAAGGAAGAAGGCUUUCGGGCUGUAAACUUCUUUUGACAGGGAAGAGCAGAAGACGGUACCUGUCGAAUAAGCCACGGCUAACUACGUGCCAGCAGCCGCGGUAAUACGUAGGGGGCAAGCGUUAUCCGGAUUCACUGGGUGUAAAGGGAGCGUAGACGGCGACGCAAGUCUGGAGUGAAAGCCCGGGGCCCAACCCCGGGACUGCUCUGGAAACUGCGUCGCUGGAGUACGGGAGGGGCAGGCGGAAUUCCUGGUGUAGCGGUGAAAUGCGUAGAUAUCAGGAGGAACACCGGCGGCGAAGGCGGCCUGCUGGACCGUGACUGACGUUGAGGCUCGAGAGCGUGGGGAGCAAACAGGAUUAGAUACCCCCGUA